rnacentral:rRNA from 1 species
GGUUAAGCGACUAAGCGUACACGGUGGAUGCCCUGGCAGUCAGAGGCGAUGAAGGACGUGCUAAUCUGCGAUAAGCGUCGGUAAGGUGAUAUGAACCGUUAUAACCGGCGAUUUCCGAAUGGGGAAACCCAGUGUGAUUCGUCACACUAUCAUUAACUGAAUCCAUAGGUUAAUGAGGCGAACCGGGGGAACUGAAACAUCUAAGUACCCCGAGGAAAAGAAAUCAACCGAGAUUCCCCCAGUAGCGGCGAGCGAACGGGGAGCAGCCCAGAGCCUGAAUCAGUGUGUGUGUUAGUGGAAGCGUCUGGAAAGGCGCGCGAUACAGGGUGACAGCCCCGUACACAAAAAUGCACAUGCUGUGAGCUCGAUGAGUAGGGCGGGACACGUGGUAUCCUGUCUGAAUAUGGGGGGACCAUCCUCCAAGGCUAAAUACUCCUGACUGACCGAUAGUGAACCAGUACCGUGAGGGAAAGGCGAAAAGAACCCCGGCGAGGGGAGUGAAAAAGAACCUGAAACCGUGUACGUACAAGCAGUGGGAGCCUCUUUAUGGGGUGACUGCGUACCUUUUGUAUAAUGGGUCAGCGACUUAUAUUCUGUAGCAAGGUUAACCGAAUAGGGGAGCCGAAGGGAAACCGAGUCUUAACUGGGCGUUAAGUUGCAGGGUAUAGACCCGAAACCCGGUGAUCUAGCCAUGGGCAGGUUGAAGGUUGGGUAACACUAACUGGAGGACCGAACCGACUAAUGUUGAAAAAUUAGCGGAUGACUUGUGGCUGGGGGUGAAAGGCCAAUCAAACCGGGAGAUAGCUGGUUCUCCCCGAAAGCUAUUUAGGUAGCGCCUCGUGAAUUCAUCUCCGGGGGUAGAGCACUGUUUCGGCAAGGGGGUCAUCCCGACUUACCAACCCGAUGCAAACUGCGAAUACCGGAGAAUGUUAUCACGGGAGACACACGGCGGGUGCUAACGUCCGUCGUGAAGAGGGAAACAACCCAGACCGCCAGCUAAGGUCCCAAAGUCAUGGUUAAGUGGGAAACGAUGUGGGAAGGCCCAGACAGCCAGGAUGUUGGCUUAGAAGCAGCCAUCAUUUAAAGAAAGCGUAAUAGCUCACUGGUCGAGUCGGCCUGCGCGGAAGAUGUAACGGGGCUAAACCAUGCACCGAAGCUGCGGCAGCGACGCUUAUGCGUUGUUGGGUAGGGGAGCGUUCUGUAAGCCUGCGAAGGUGUACUGUGAGGUAUGCUGGAGGUAUCAGAAGUGCGAAUGCUGACAUAAGUAACGAUAAAGCGGGUGAAAAGCCCGCUCGCCGGAAGACCAAGGGUUCCUGUCCAACGUUAAUCGGGGCAGGGUGAGUCGACCCCUAAGGCGAGGCCGAAAGGCGUAGUCGAUGGGAAACAGGUUAAUAUUCCUGUACUUGGUGUUACUGCGAAGGGGGGACGGAGAAGGCUAUGUUGGCCGGGCGACGGUUGUCCCGGUUUAAGCGUGUAGGCUGGUUUUCCAGGCAAAUCCGGAAAAUCAAGGCUGAGGCGUGAUGACGAGGCACUACGGUGCUGAAGCAACAAAUGCCCUGCUUCCAGGAAAAGCCUCUAAGCAUCAGGUAACAUCAAAUCGUACCCCAAACCGACACAGGUGGUCAGGUAGAGAAUACCAAGGCGCUUGAGAGAACUCGGGUGAAGGAACUAGGCAAAAUGGUGCCGUAACUUCGGGAGAAGGCACGCUGAUAUGUAGGUGAAGUCCCUUGCGGAUGGAGCUGAAAUCAGUCGAAGAUACCAGCUGGCUGCAACUGUUUAUUAAAAACACAGCACUGUGCAAACACGAAAGUGGACGUAUACGGUGUGACGCCUGCCCGGUGCCGGAAGGUUAAUUGAUGGGGUUAGCGCAAGCGAAGCUCUUGAUCGAAGCCCCGGUAAACGGCGGCCGUAACUAUAACGGUCCUAAGGUAGCGAAAUUCCUUGUCGGGUAAGUUCCGACCUGCACGAAUGGCGUAAUGAUGGCCAGGCUGUCUCCACCCGAGACUCAGUGAAAUUGAACUCGCUGUGAAGAUGCAGUGUACCCGCGGCAAGACGGAAAGACCCCGUGAACCUUUACUAUAGCUUGACACUGAACAUUGAGCCUUGAUGUGUAGGAUAGGUGGGAGGCUUUGAAGUGUGGACGCCAGUCUGCAUGGAGCCGACCUUGAAAUACCACCCUUUAAUGUUUGAUGUUCUAACGUUGGCCCCUAAUCGGGGUUGCGGACAGUGUCUGGUGGGUAGUUUGACUGGGGCGGUCUCCUCCUAAAGAGUAACGGAGGAGCACGAAGGUUGGCUAAUCCUGGUCGGACAUCAGGAGGUUAGUGCAAUGGCAUAAGCCAGCUUGACUGCGAGCGUGACGGCGCGAGCAGGUGCGAAAGCAGGUCAUAGUGAUCCGGUGGUUCUGAAUGGAAGGGCCAUCGCUCAACGGAUAAAAGGUACUCCGGGGAUAACAGGCUGAUACCGCCCAAGAGUUCAUAUCGACGGCGGUGUUUGGCACCUCGAUGUCGGCUCAUCACAUCCUGGGGCUGAAGUAGGUCCCAAGGGUAUGGCUGUUCGCCAUUUAAAGUGGUACGCGAGCUGGGUUUAGAACGUCGUGAGACAGUUCGGUCCCUAUCUGCCGUGGGCGCUGGAGAACUGAGGGGGGCUGCUCCUAGUACGAGAGGACCGGAGUGGACGCAUCACUGGUGUUCGGGUUGUCAUGCCAAUGGCACUGCCCGGUAGCUAAAUGCGGAAGAGAUAAGUGCUGAAAGCAUCUAAGCACGAAACUUGCCCCGAGAUGAGUUCUCCCUGACUCCCUGAGAGUCCUGAAGGAACGUUGAAGACGACGACGUUGAUAGGCCGGGUGUGUAAGCGCAGCGAUGCGUUGAGCUAACCGGUACUAAUGAACCGUGAGGCUUAACCUU